AUACGUAGGUGGCAAGCGUUGUCCGGAUUUAUUGGGCGUAAAGCGAGCGCAGGCGGGAUUUUAAGUCAGCGGUGAAAUUUUCAGACUCAACCUGAACACUGCCGUUGAAACUGGGAUUCUUGAGUAUGGAUGAAGUAGGCGGAAUUCGUUGUGUAGCGGUGACAUGCUUAGAUAUAACGAGGAACUCCGAUUGCGUAGGCAGCUUACUAAGCCAUAACUGACGCUCAAGCACGAAAGCGUGGGGAUCAAACAGGAUUAGAUACCCUGGUAGUCCACGCCGUAAACGAUGAUUACUAGUUGUUUGCGAUAUACCGUAAGUGACUAAGCGAAAGCGAUAAGUAAUCCACCUGGGGAGUACGCCGGCAACGGUGAA
rnacentral:rRNA from 1 species